AACGUCUAUCAAUCUCAUUCAGGAAAUUUCAAUUGACACAGUAUCCCAGAUCGUUCAGCUGCCUCAAUUACAAUCUUCACCUCAAGAGGCAAUACUUACAGAGCCAGGGAGAGCAAAAGAGCGAGUUCAUAGUUAAAGAACAGAAUCUUUUAUGCCCUGAUUCAAAGGGUAUCCAUCUGGAACUGUCGAAGCUUGGAGAACGAAGCAAGUGAGCCCUUACUCAUUUUUCUGGGGUGAGCAUGGAACCCGGAAUCAGAAGUGGCAGCUGCUACAUCGGCAGAUAUGAUGUCAGCGAGGUAGGCUGAGCGGUGAAAGUUGGCAUCUGAUAAUCGGCGACUUUGUCAUUGGUUGGGUCUGGUGCUGGUGGUGGCAAAGCAGUGGUGGUGGAGAAUUGGCCCAGUGACAAAUGCUGGUGCCUGCAGAGCGAUGACUUCAGUGUUGGUUGUGGACGGCAGUGAGGUGGCGGAGAAGACAUAGCGGGGCACAGGCAUCGUUGAUGAUAAGCUGGCUCAGGACUGAGGAACUCUCUUUAAGCUAUGUCUUUCUAUUUUUUGCUUAUUCUUAAAACUAUUCA